rnacentral:rRNA from 1 species
GCGCAGCAGGCGAGAAAACUUCACACUGUGCGAAAGCACGAUGAGGGAAUCCCAAGUGCUUGCACGUAAGUGUAAGCUGUUUCUCUGUCUAAAACGCAGAGAGAGUAAGGGCUGGGUAAGACGGGUGCCAGCCGCCGCGGUAAUACCUGCAGCUCAAGUGGUGACCGUUAUUAUUGGGCCUAAAACGUCCGUAGCCGGUUUAAUAAAUGCCUGGGUAAAUUGUGUAGCUUAACUAUACGAAUUCCGGGUAGACUGUUAAACUUGAGACCGGGAGAAGUUAGAGGUACUCCUGGGGUAGAGGUGAAAUUCUGUAAUCCUAGGGGGACCACCAGUGGCGAAGGCGUCUAACUAGAACGGGUCUGACGGUGAGGGACGAAGCCCGUGGGGCG